AGUUUGAUCACAUGGCUCAGAUUGAACGCUGGCGGGAUGCUUUACACAUGCAAGUCGAACGGCAGCACGGACUUCGGUCUGGUGGCGAGUGGCGAACGGGUGAGUAAUGUAUCGGAACGUGCCUAGUAGCGGGGGAUAACUACGCGAAAGCGUAGCUAAUAUCGCAUACGCCCUUCGGGGGAAAGCGGGGGACCUUCGGGCCUCGCACUAUUAGAAACGGCCGAUAUCGGAUUAGCUAGUUGGUGGGGUAACGGCUCACCAAGGCGACGAUCCGUAGCUGGUUUGAGAGGACGACCAGCCACACUGGGACUGAGACACGGCCCAGACUCCUACGGGAGGCAGCAGUGGGGAAUUUUGGACAGUGGAAACCCUGAUCCAGCCAUCCCGCGUGUGCGAUGAAGGCCUUCGGGUUAUAAACACUUUUGGCAGGAAAGGAACGGCACGGGAUAAUACCCGUGCAACUGACGGUCUACGGGAAUAACCGCAAGCUAACUACGUGCCAGCAGCCGCGGUAAUACGUAGGGUGCAAGCGUUAAUCGGAAUUACUGGGCGUAAAGCGUGCGCAGGCGGUUCGGAAGAAAGAUCUUGAAAUCCCGAGCUUAACUUUGGAGCUGCAUUUUUAACUACCGAGAAUAGAAGUGUGUCAGAGGGAGGUGGAAUUCCCGCCGAUGUAGCAUUGAAAUGCGUAGAUAUGCGGAGGAACACCGCGAUGGCGAAGGCGGCCUCUGGAUAUGCUGGCGGCAUAUUGCACGAAAGCGUGGGGAGCAAACAGGAUUAGAUACCCUGGUAGUCCACGCCCUAAACAAUGUAAACUAGCUGUUGGGGCCUUCGGGCCUUGGUAGCGCAGCUAACGCGUGAGACAGCCGCCUGGGAGUACGGUCGCAAGAUUAAAACUCAAAGGAAUUGACUGGGACCCGCACAAGCGGUGGAUGAUGUGGAUUAAUUCGAUGCAACGCGAAAACCUUACCUACCCUUGACAUGUCUGGAAUCCCGAAAGAGAUUUGGGAGUGCUCGCAAGAGAACCGGAACACAGGUGCUGCACUGGCUGUCGUCGGCUCGUGUCGUGGGAUGUUGGGUUAAGUCCCGCAACGAGCGCAACCCUUGUCAUUAGUUGCUACGAGGCACUCUAAUGAGACUGCCGGUGACAAACCGGAGGAAGGUGGGGAUGACGUCAAGUCCUCAUGGCCCAUAUGGGUAGGGCUUCACACGUCAUACAAUGGUCGGGACAGAGGGUCGCCAACCCGCGAGGGGAGCCAAUCCCAGAAACCCGAUCGUAGUCCGGAUCGCAGUCUGCAACUCGACUGCGUGAAGUCGGAAUCGCUAGUAAUCGCGGAUCAGCAUGUCGCGGUGAAUACGUUCCCGGGUCUUGUACACACCGCCCGUCACACCAUGGGAGUGGGUUUUACCAGAAGUAGUUAGCCUAACCGUAAGGAGGGCGAUUACCACGGUAGGAUU
rnacentral:rRNA from 1 species